rnacentral:lncRNA from 1 species
UGCAGGUCCAGAUACUUGUUUGAAAGUCCUUGCAUCAUGUGAUCGAUACUCCCAAGGUAAAGGCUACACUUUUAUUUAUGCUAAGAAAUGAAGUUGGUAGAGGGGAAUGUCAGACAAGAUUUGCUAAGUUGUUGGUUAGAUGAAUUUGGUUGCUAAGCUAGGAUAUGGUGUAAUGUGUUUUUGUGAUUAGGACUUCUUAGAUGUGGAUUGCAAUAUUGCAGAGGUUAAGAUUCUAAGUUUUAAAUCAUGUGAGUCUCUGCUG